UAUGGCCUACGGGAGGCAGCAGUGGGGAAUAUUGCGCAAUGGGGGAAACCCUGACGCAGCAACGCCGCGUGCGGGAUGACGGCCUUCGGGUUGUAAACCGCUUUCAGCAGGGAAGAACAUCGACGGUACCUGCAGAAGAAGCCCCGGCUAACUACGUGCCAGCAGCCGCGGUAAUACGUAGGGGGCGAGCGUUAUCCGGAUUCAUUGGGCGUAAAGCGCGCGUAGGCGGGUGCCUAAGCGGGACCUCUAACCUCGGGGCUCAACCCCGAGCCGGGGCCCGCACUGGGCGCCUCGCGUGCGGUAGG
rnacentral:rRNA from 1 species